AUGUCUCCGUACGCCGUCCUCGUCGCGGUGCUCUUGACCUUCUGCUACGUCGUUUGGAAGGCUCGAGGCAGCAGAAGUGGCAAGCUCCCGCCCUCGCCGCCGUCGCGUCCGCUGCUCGGCCACCUCCACCUCCUUGGCCGCCACCCGCACCGCUCCUUGCGCGAGCUGCACGCUCGGUACGGCACCGAUGGCGGCCUCCUGCUGUUGCAGCUCGGGCGCAGGCGGACGCUGGUGGUUUCCACGGCGGCCGCGGCGGCGGGCCUGUACAAGAACCACGACCUCGCCUUCGCCUCCCGCGUGCCCAGCGCGCCGGCCGACAAGCUGACGUACGGCUCCACCAACGUCUCCUUCGCACCCUACGGCGACGCCUGGCGCCGCAGCAAGAAGAUGGCCGUCGUCCACCUCCUCUCCCCGCGCCGUGCCGACUCGUUCGCCCCCGUGCGGGCCGCCGAGGCGGCCGCCCUCGUCGCCGGGGUGCGCCGCGCCGCGGAGGCGGGUGAGAUUGUGGAGCUGAGGGAGCUCCUGUCCGCCUACAGCAACGCGGUGGUCACCCGCGCGACCACCGGCGCCGCAGGUGCCACGGCCGAGAAGCUAAAAAAGCUUUUGGGUAACUCCGCAGCGAUCAUGUCGGGGCUCCAGGCGGAUGACGUGCUCCCCGACGCGGCGGCGAAGGUGGUUAGGUGGGCGACGGGUCUCGAGAAGAGGCUCGACGCCGAGCUCGAACAGUGGGACAAGUUCCUAUCAGAGAUAAUCGCAGAGCACCUUGAGAAGAAGCCAGACAACGGCGCAGGGGAGGAGAGCUUCCUCGACGUCCUGCUGCGGCUUAGGGAAGAAGGCGCCGCCGGACUCGAGCUCACCAACGAUCGCAUCAAAAGCCUCAUCAAGGACAUGAUAGCCGGCGGGACAGACACAGCAUCGGUCACGUUGGAAUGGGCCAUGGCGGAGCUCGUCGGGAACCCGCGGGCAAUAGCCAAGCUGCAGGACGAGAUAGAUCGAGUCACCGAAGGCAAACCGACCAUCGAGGAAGACGACCUGAGCAGGAUGGAGUACCUCAGGGCGGUGCUGAAGGAGGUGCUCCGGCUCCACCCGGCGGCACCGCUCCUCAUCCCGCACCAGUCGACGACCGCGGCGGUCGUGCAGGGCUACGAGAUCCCAGCUGAGACUGCGCUCUUCGUCAACGCGUGGGCGAUCGGGAGGGACCCGGCGGCGUGGGGAGCAACGGCGGAGGAGUUCUGGCCGGAGCGAUUCCUGGGCGGCGGCAGCGCGCAGGGCGUGGACCUGCGGGGGAACGACUACCAGCUCCUCCCGUUCGGCGCCGGCCGGCGGCUCUGCCCCGGCAUCAGCUUCGCGAUGCCGGUGCUGGAGAUCGCGCUCUGCAGCCUUGUGCGCCACUUCGACUGGGAAAUCCCCGCCGAGGCACGUCUAGACAUGAACGAGGCGCCGGGACUGAUCACGCCGCCGCUGGCUCCGCUGCGCCUUGUCCCCAAGUGCAGGAGGCAGCAGUAG
rnacentral:rRNA from 1 species